AUUAACUGUAACAAAUUUACCUUUAACAAUCAACAAUCAACAAUCAACAAUCAAAAAUCUUUCGUAUGAUUAACAAUUGAAAACAACUUUUCGUUCCACUGUCUUUUUCUCUGUCUACAUUUCGACCAUUGAUUUAAGACAAACAAUCGAAAAGGUAAACAUUUAAAUCAGUUGAAAAUUCAUUUUCUCCACUAAAUCAUGUUAAUCACUUUCUCUCUUAUUCUCUUCUUUAAUUGUGAUUACUUUUAAUUGUUCCUCUUGUUAAAGUGCUUCUUAUAAAGGAUAACAUGUGAUAUAUUUUUCCCUUUGGAAUUAAUAUUUUCUUUCCUAUUCUAAAGGUAAUUUAACCAGAUUAACAAGGUGUAUUCUUUGUUGUAUUAUUGUUAAAGAAAAGCUGAGUAAUUAACGGUAACUUAAUCAGUGAUUUAGUAAUUAUUAUUACCAGCUAUUAACAGACAACCUGAGUAUUCCCAUGUUUAACUACCAAUAAUCCUGACUAACCAACAAUUAAGUUAACCUCAAGUGUUUCCAAUUGGUGGUAUUUACAAUUAAUCGGUGUCAAGCUCACCUGUUAACCUGCCAAAGUCAUCAAGCUAAUUUGCUCCUUAAUCCUUUCUCUUGAUUCAUCUUAAUCUCUUGAUUUGCAAUCAACAUUAUCAUCUCUAUAUUUCUAAAUGAUUGAAGUGACCAUUUCCUUUUCUAACUUGUCCAUCAUCUCUCAAUAUAUUAGAUCACUUUGCUGGUCAUUGGUCAAAGAAAAUCAAAGUGAAUGUUAUUAUCAAACCAGAGAAACACUGAAUGGAUUGAGGAGAGAGAGAGAGAAGAGGAAAUGGAAUAAAAGAAUAUAACUUUUUCUCUUCUUCUAAAUGACCAUUGGACUAAAGUGGACACCAGGAAGAUUGAGAGAUGAAAAGGUGAAAGGUGGUUAUUAAAAAGUGACGAAAAUACUGGAUCAAGGAAAAGAUAAUACAUAAUAUAAGAUUGGAAUUGACAUGUUGUUGCUUUAGUAAUUCAACGAGAAGAAUGGAAGAAAAUUUCCUGGGACAGAAUUUGAUGGAAAACAUGAUGAAAACUCUUCUUUCCAUAUAUUCUCGGUGUGUCUCAUUCUUAUCCCUCAAUAACAUGAUCAUCACCACCACCAAGAAAUUCACCUUCAUCACUUGAAAUACUUUAUCCAUCUUCUUAUUAUUAUAACAAGAAGAUCAUCACCAACUCAUUCAAUUUUUUUUCUCUCUCUCUCUCUCUUCCCAAUCCCAUGAAACUGUCUCUUCAAGUGUCUCUCAUUUAAUAUCAGAUCAUCUGAUUUUCUGAGAAUCUUCAACGUCAACCUUUUGAAGUUUAUGAUUUGCUAACCUAACGGAUGUGGAACUCAAAGGAAAAACCAUUAUCGAGUAUAUUAUUACAUCGAAGUGUAAUAUUGCCUGAUAUUCCUUUCAACUGUGAUACAUAUAUACAAGAAACUCCCUUUGAAGAGAGAGAGAGAGAGAGAGAGGAAGGAGAAGAUGAAAAAAAGUAUUAUAUGGAUCAAUGAUAAACAUGGUAAAAGUUGAUCUGAAAUUCUUGCUACAUCAAUCAUCAAAUUCCCGAAAGGUUAACCAAUAUAAGGCCACAGGUUAAAUUUCAUAAGGCACAUUACGAUGAGUGUGUUAACCGUUAUAUUUGCAUAUAAACGAGAAAUUAUAUUUUUCCCUCCAACGAGUUGGAUUCAUCGUGGUUCUGUCAAUUGAUAGUUUCCAUUUGAGAUUCAUGAUUAUGGUUAUUGGAUAAAAUCAAAUUAAGGAUUAAGAUUGAAUUGGACUCAUUUUAAAUUCAAAUGGACUGAAAAAUCAUUGGAUGAACAUGAUUAAACUUUACCGGUUGAGGAAAAAGUUAAAUGGUUCAAGGAUAUGAUUUCCCUUUGGUUUCAAGUUAAAUAUCACCACGGAGAGAGAAAAGGGAGAAAGUGAUCAAUUAAUGAGUUUGUUGUUUUCAUCAUGGAAAUUAUUAUGAUGCUUGAAUUACCUAUUGGCUAGUUGACUGACCAUGAAUUAAUGAAUCAUUCGUUUCAAUUCCUUUGACAAUUGCCUGAUCUCUUAUCCCUCUUUUCCGCUCUUAUCCUUUUUAGUCAGUUCUAAAUGAUGAGUUUAUCAUGCAAACUCUUGUAAUGGAAAGUGAAAAGAUGAUGAUUAUGAACAUCAUCAUCAUCAUCAUCAACACCUACAAUAUCCAUAAUAUUGAUCACCAUCAUCAUCACUACCUUCAAUUAGUUAACUUUAAUUUCAUCAUCAAACAAACUCUUUGCAUGGCGGAUAUACAAGUUCAAGAAUUGACAGUUAAUUUAGUAUUCUAUUAAUCGUAAUGGACAAAAUGUCGCAGACUACGGAUAUUUAUUGAUUGGUUAAAUUACUUUACAACGACAAGAACUAUUUUGUUUUUGAUCCUCGAAAGGAAGGAAAAUGUCCAAGUAACAAAAAAAAAUUUCUAUUCUUUUUUUUGUUGUAAUGAUGUUUUCGAAAUAUACCUUUUGAAGAUACACAAAGAAUGAUAGAGAUAAAAACAUCAUGUCAUAAUCAUGAUGAUGAUGAGAAUAUCAUGAUGACAAUGAUUGUAUUGUUUUUCUCUGCAGUUUUCCUUUAAUGACCAAGAGUAAAGCGUAAAUUCAAGUAUUGGGGAAAAGUGAUGAGGAUAAACAAGACACCAAAGAUACCAAAGGAAAAAUUAUUUGAAACUUCACUCAGGGUGAAGAGGAAGAUGAUGAAAGAAGGAUGAAAACAAGAUGACAAAUGAAAUCCAGCAACUUGGAUGCCUUGUUGAUUUUUUUUGUUGAUUCAUUGGAUCCAUCGACCGAUCAAGUGGAAAAUUAAUCCAUUCUACCUGGCUUGGUUUCUUUCAAUCAGUCUUCACAAACACACACACACACUCACACAUUCACACAACACUUACAGUAAACAAAAAUGUGACGAAAUUUAUUUACAUUUGAUCAUUGAUCCAAAGAUGAUGAGGAUGGAGAUAGAAAGAUGAAACAAGCGGAUGGAUCAAGAGAGAGAGAGCGAGAAAAGAAACAAGAUGAAACAUUGAAGAGAAGAUGAAAGUACAAGUGUAUCCAAUGAAAGAAAAGAAAGAGAAACUAAAUGUUCACCAUGGUGAUGAUGAUGAUGAUAAUUAUGUGAAGACAAUAGUAUAUCAAAGUUUGGAAUUACUCGAAAAAAAACUGGACAAAGAACGAGAAAAGUUUCAUCGACCAAAAUGGAAACAGCUUAUGGAAACAUAGAAUAAUGAAUUUCGAGAAAGAUUCUGAACCAUUUUCGGUGUAACAAUUUACUUUUUUCUCGUUUCUUCCUAAAAGAUUCACCUUCAUGAUGAUCAGUGAUGUUUACUCAGUAUUCGGGAUGAAGAUGAUACCACAAGAGUGAGAGAGAGAGAGAGAGAGAGAGAGAGAGAGAGAGAGAGAGAGAGAGAUGGAAACAAUAACAAUAUUUUAAUGGAUGAUAAUCAGUUGAAUUUCAUCAACAUUUAACAUUAUCAUGGUGCUGAUG